rnacentral:rRNA from 1 species
UACAGAGGGUGCGAGCGUUAAUCGGAAUUACUGGGCGUAAAGCGCAUGUAGGUGGUUUGAUAAGUUGGAUGUGAAAGCCCCGGGCUUAACCUGGGAACUGCAUUCAAAACUAUUAAACUAGAGUAGGGUAGAGGGAAGUGGAAUUUCCGGUGUAGCGGUGAAAUGCGUAGAUAUCGGAAGGAACACCAGUGGCGAAGGCGGCUUCCUGGACUCAUACUGACACUGAGGUGCGAAAGCGUGGGGAGCAAACAGG